GUACUCCUCCUUCUGUCCGAAAAUACUUAUCAGAGAAAUAGAUGUAUCUAGGUUUAUUUUAAUUCUAGAUACAUCGAUUUGUAUCUAUUUCUACGACAAGUAUUUCUGGACGGAGGGAGUACAUA
rfam:Triticum aestivum genome assembly, contig: Triticum_aestivum_CS42_TGACv1_scaffold_404133_5BL